AUGUGCACUGUCAAAAUGUCGUCUGCUAGAUGCGUGUGUUCAAACUCAAAAUGCUUUCACUGCAAACGCCGAUGGAUCGCAUUGCCCUGGACUGUUCAACUCAUGGUGAAUAUGAAUUUAUCAAAUUCAAGGACUAGCAGUCUCACCAUUCAUCAACUUUGAACUUCACCGCUUGAAAUUAUAAUGAACACUCAAGAUGAUGACAAGCAUUGGUAUAAAAGAUGCGCCCGCCUGACUGAAGAGAGCCUGUGAGAUGCUGCCUCGUCAUGACUUCAAAUACGUCAUCUUCUCACCGUCUCAAGCUAAUUCAGUUCAACUUUGUGAUUCAUUCAAUACUAAGAUGGUUAAGGUACGUCUCAUGUAGUGAGUUUUAAUUAUUGUAAAAAGAUCUGUUUACACGGACUCUUAUAUAUAAAACCCAUCAGACAUCAGUCUUUACUGUUUACAACUUGAUACAAAGUUGAUAUUUAUUUCAAAAGCUAUGAAUUUAAUUCAAAGCAAAGUGUGGUGCAGUAAACAGAUCUUUACCAUGUAAAGUCCUAUGGCUGUUUAUGUGAUUGCUGAAUAUUGUCAUGUACAUUUUAUAACUCCUUUAAUUCAUCAGGCCUGAUACUUUAAAGAGAAACAUUACGCAGCAAUUGCCUCCAUGCACACGGUCUUGGUCAUUGCCUUGGCGCCCAAAAUGUUCCGGUACUUAUUUAAAUUUCCCUCAUACUGCGUUUUACUGAGCAAAAGCUGCCUUGCCGUUACAAGAAUGAAGCAUCAGGCCUGAAUCAUGGUUAAUGAAAUGCAGAAAUCAACAGGGCAACACUUUUUACUGAAUACAAAGCAAUGAAAUGGAAAGUCAUGCAACCUCGUUGUAGUAUGCAUGCAUGGUAUGGGUAUAUGUACAGUUUUAAACACAAUUUGUACACAGGUCAGACAGAGUUAAAACAGGUUUUAAAUACUUAGUUUGGAUGUAUAUGGGGUAAAUAUGAUGUAGUUGUAUCAUGCGUGAUGAUAUUUAUCUGCAAAACAUUGUACGAACCGAGCAGGGCCUUAAGUUUUAACCAUAAUCAUAAUGUAUGGAAACUUAGAGUGAACAUCUGUAUUUCCACAAAGUUAGAUGCUUUAGUACGUAAAAGUACUGUAUUGUAUCUUUCCACCAUUUUAUCUUAAAAAGUAGAUUCUGCAAAGCCACGAGAACCCUAAAAUACAGAGUUAUCUAAUUUCUUUAGAUUUCUUUAAUGUAUUUAACUUGGAAAUUUGGCAAUGUAGAUGGUCGUUCUAAGCUUCCAUACAAUUUUUAGCAAUAGUUUUGAAGUCUGGCUCCUUGUCUCUUAGUGCUUUUACAACACUAUUCUGAAUGUAGGUACCAGACUAAUUUCUUCACACACUUGUUUAAUAUAACUUAUGUUAUCAAGAUUCUUGUGUAUAAAAAGGUCCUUUUUAACAAGCUUAUCAAAUAAAACAGCUUCUGAAUUCAAAGUUGAGUGGAGCAUACUAUCUGUUACACUUAAAAAUAAGAAGUUAGAAGUUACGAACGCUUGUUCUGUGCAUUUAAAUUGAUGUAAAUAAGAGUUAUAGCAUAGUACAAUUUACGCUAAGUGCCGUCUUAGAGUUAUAAUAAGCAAUUAUUUAUUAAAAAAGACACUUUCCUGUGAAAAUCUUUGUUACCAGAAUUCGUAUACCAUGUAGAAUGUUAAUAGGACACUCUGGAGUGUAUUCCGUACUGUUUUAAAGGUGUUUUGGAGGUUUCUGAAUGUCAAAAUUUGAAAGUUUGAAAUUUUCAGUUAUUUUUAGAGUGUUUUGGGCAAAAAAAAAAAUGUUCGAAUAAAAAUUAACGAGCAUGCGUUUCAGGCGAUUUUAAGAAAAUGAAUUGCCAAAAAAAAAAAUUAAUGGUGAUUUUUUGAAGUUUUUAC